rnacentral:rRNA from 1 species
GACGAAGGGGGCUAGCGUUGUUCGGAAUUACUGGGCGUAAAGCGAGUGUAGGUGGUUGUCCAAGUUGGAUGUGAAAGCCUUGAGCUCAACUCAAGAAAUGCAUUCAGGACUGGGCGGCUAGAGGACCGGAGAGGAUAGUGGAAUUCCCAGUGUAGUGGUGAAAUUCGUAGAUAUUCGGAAGAACACCAGUGGCGAAGGCGGCUCACUGGACUGGUAUUGACGCUGAGGUGCGAAAGCGUGGGGAGCAAACAGG